UUAAAAGAGCUUCUCUGUGAGGAGGAAUUGAAGUGGGCGCUGCGGGCUAAGGUUCACAAAGUUGUCCAAGGGGACGCGAACACCCAAUUCUUUCACAUGAUUGCUAAUGGCAAGCACAUAAAGAAAAGAAUCUUUCAGCUUGAACAAGAUGAAGGAACGAUUUUAGGACAGGAAAACCUAAAAUUAUACAUAACCGAAUACUACAAGCAGUUGUUUGGGCCUCCGGAGGAUAAGUGUGUAUCCCUGGACGAGUCUAGGAUUGAGGAUGUUCCUCAACUGGUUGCAGAUGAGAAUGAUAUUUAG
rnacentral:rRNA from 1 species